rnacentral:SRP_RNA from 1 species
ACUUGGGUAAGUCAUACACGACCAGCUCCCUCUAAAUUCUCCCAGGGCCGGAAGGCAGCAAGAGCAGGAGGUUGUAGCGGUGCGAUGUAUGUAGCUUACCCU